CAUAGUCUAAUGAAUAUAUUAGAUAUUUUCUGCCCAGUGAUUUUAACGGCCGCAGUACCUUGACUGUGCUAAGGUAGCAUAAUAAUUUGGCUUUUAAUUGGAGUCGGGAAUAAAUGAAAGUCAGGGAAAUUGUCUCUUUAUAAUUAUUAAAUUUAUUUAAAAGGUGAAAAUACCUUUAAUUUAUAUUAGACGAGAAGACCCUUAGAAUUUGAAACUAUUUUGUUGGGGCGACAAAUUUACAAUAAACUUUUUAUUUUAUAAUACAUGUCGAGUAUGAUUAAAUUACCUGAGGGAUAACAGCAUAAUAUUAAGAUUAUGACCUCGAUGUUGGAUUAGGAUAUUUUAAUAAGCAAUUAAAAUUGUUCUGUUCGAACCCUACGUGAUCU
rnacentral:rRNA from 1 species